GAUGAACGCUGGCGGCGUGCCUAAUACAUGCAAGUCGAGCGAACAGACGAGGAGCUUGCUCCUCUGACGUUAGCGGCGGACGGGUGAGUAACACGUGGAUAACCUACCUAUAAGACUGGGAUAACUUCGGGAAACCGGAGCUAAUACCGGAAAAUAUAUUGAACCGCAUGGUUCCAUAGUGAAAGACGGUUUUGCUGUCACUUAUAGAUGGAUCCGCGCCGCAUUAGCUAGUUGGUAAGGUAACGGCUUACCAAGGCAACGAUGCGUAGCCGACCUGAGAGGGUGAACGGCCACACUGGAACUGAGACACGGUCCAGACUCCUACGGGAGGCAGCAGUAGGGAAUCUUCCGCAAUGGGCGAAAGCCUGACGGAGCAACGCCGCGUGAGUGAUGAAGGUCUUCGGAUCGUAAAACUCUGUUAUUAGGGAAGAACAAAUGUGUAAGUAACUAUGCACGUCUUGACGGUACCUAAUCAGAAAGCCACGGCUAACUACGUG
rnacentral:rRNA from 1 species